UACGUAGGGGGCAAGCGUUGUCCGGAUUUAUUGGGCGUAAAAGGCUUGUAGGUGGCCACGCCAAGUCGGAUGUGAAAUCUCCCGGCUCAACUGGGAGGGGUCAUUCGAUACUGGCGGGCUCGAGGCCGGUAGGGGGAAGUGGAAUUCCCGGUGUAGUGGUGGAAUGCGUAGAUAUCGGGAGGAACACCAGUGGCGAAGGCGGCUUCCUGGACCGGUUCUGACACUGAGGAGCGAAAGCGUGGGGAGCGAUCGG
rnacentral:rRNA from 1 species